UCCGCCUCCUGAGUUCAAGUGAUUCUCCUGCCUCAGCCUCCCAAGUAGCUGAGAUUACAGCCAAUAGAUGAAGAAAGAUGCAAAGAAGACACAUUUGCUUUUUAUCCACACAUCACUUCCAGUCACUUUGCUGAGCAAAGUCAAUGUGAACAGAGUUGAGAAUAGCAGUUUUCGGGCAGGACAGCCACUUCUUAGCAAAAAGAUGGCACAAUAAAAGUAUAAAUCUUUCAUGGAAGGCUAACGUAUUUUCAGCAAAUUCAGCAUAUACAUGAAUAAAAUUCUUGCUGUAAAAUA